rnacentral:rRNA from 1 species
GCUUACGGCCACACCACCCUGAGCACGCCCGAUCUCGUCCGAUCUCGGAAGCUAAGCAGGGUCGGGCCUGGUUAGUACUUGGACGGGAGACCCCCUGGGAAUACCAGGUGCUGUAAGCU